CGUUCAGUCAACUCGUUUCUCUGCGUUACCAAGCCGAUCUAGUUAGUUAGUCUUCUCGUGAUCCUCGACCCCUGUUUCCGGUUUCGACUACGCUCUCUGCCUGACCCCGUUUGUGUUGUUGUGUAGUAAAGCACAAAUAUAACGGUCCUAAUGUUCAAUGAAAUAUUCCAGAGAAACGCUUGUAUAUGGUUAAAGAAACAUAUUAAGUUUCAGACACCUUUUCAGACUCAUAUCUUGAAAUUUGAAUACUCAUGAAACUUUUCUAUCAGAUGGAAAAGCUCCACUGUCGGUACUGAAGCUCCUCAGCAGUGCAGUAGCGGCCUCUCCGUAUGUGCUAGUGACCAUCAUUCUGGCAGUGAAAUGUUACAGAGCUCGAACUGACCCUGAUGAGGACAACAGACCGUACAGAGUGAUAGAAGCUGAAGCGUCUGUCUGAGUCUCAGGGAACAGACGUGAGAAAUGCGACGUGACAAAAGAAAGAACGACUCGGAUCGGGAGGUGAGGUGAACUAACAGACUGUAUAGCCUGAAGACCUAAUGCUAAGCUAUUAAUUAAUCAUUUCUGUUUCUCAUAAUUUGGCCUUGGCUGCAAUAGCCUAUACUUUAUUUUUAUUCCAAAUGUGAUCAACGUUUGCAUAAGUA
ensembl:lncRNA